UGAUUCCUGUUCUGGGUAUUAUAGCUUAGGAUCAAAUGCAGGGCCUCAUGGAUGCUAGACACGUCUUCUACUAUACUACUGGAUGCCCAGCUCCAGUUAUUACUUCCAAAUCCAAGCAGCAGAAGAUUUACCCAACAUUGCAGAUGAAAAAAAUGUAGGCUGUUUUCUGUUUUUGUUUUUGAUGCAGGGAAUCAUUGAAUGCCACAGAACGGCCAUGAACUUAUCAUCCUCCUUUGCUUCCCUACUAGCUGGCUUUCCAGAUGCCAUGAGAUGAGUCAUUCUCUAGGCUAUGCACACUCACCAUACUGUUGCCACAGGCUAAAAGCAACAGGAAAAACUCACCAUAGCCAGAUCCCUCCCAAAAGAUAUUGUUUUCCACGAAGAAGUUGGGGCCACCAGAUGAAAUCCCCAGUCCAUUUAAGUGAGCAAUGCUACAGAACAAACCACAGGGAAUUCUUUAAAAGUUAUAAGUGAGCGGCUUGAUCGUAAGGAGCCAGAUAUGGAUGUCUCCUGAGAGGUUCUGCCAGAGCCCUACUGAUAGAGAUGAGGAUGCUUGCAGCUAACCAUUGGACUGAACAAGGGGACCCCAAUAGAAGACUUAGAGAAAAGACUGAAGGAGCUGAAGGGGUUUGCAACACCAGAGGAAGAACAACAAUAUCAACCAAGCAAACCCCACCAGAGCUCCCAGGGACUAAACCACCAACCAAGGAGUACACAUGGAGGGACCCAUGAUACCAGUCACAUAUGCAGCAGAGGAUGGUACUGUCCAGCAUCAAUGGGAGGAAAAGCCCUUGGUCAUGUGAAGGCUUGAUGCCCUAGUGUAGGGGAAUGCCAGGCACUGAGGUGGGAGUAGGAGCAUCCUCAUAGAA